GUGUUAUACUGAAAAGUGGGAGGAUGUAAUGUGUGGGGCACAAUGUGGUCCUCGAGGUGACCUUUAACAGGACCUGUGCUAUAGCAGUAAAAAAAGUUGCAGUAUCAGUGGAAUGUGUGCCAAGAAAUUGUCAAAAUAAGGGAAUGACACCCACAACUCAUCGGACGAUGAGGCCCAGGGAUGGCCACCCCCAGCCUGUGCUGCCGACUGGUACAGGAUGAAGUUCUGAUGUUGUGCUGUUCUCCAGUGAGUGACACUCUCAGAGGUCAUCGACUAUCAUUGCACAUCCAGGUACAGAAAUUUCAUGACACCCUGCUUUCUGGGCAAUCCUACUUCAAGCUGGGUUUAAUGGUGGCGAGAGAACAGGCUGCAGGACAAUUUAUUAAUCAGUUUGGUACCCAGGGCCCAGGAGACAGCACACUCCAAGUUUCAUGAUGAGAGAAACUUGCUGAUAACCAGGGCAUCAGAAAUGAUAAACCAAGAGUUACACUUUGCACAUCGGGGCUGAGUGUGCACACCUCAUCCCCACUGGACUUGUUCUUCCCAGGGGUAAAGUUCCCUAGAGGAUGAGGAGGCCUGGGUCUGAGCUUCUUCCCAUGAAAUGGUCAUAAAAGAUGCCUUCAGAUACUUCCCAUAAGUACUAGCCCAAAAUGUACCCAUGCGCCUGGACAGCCCUUGAGAUUUCCCAAACAGUGAGGCCUGGCCUCUGUGACCUCACAUAGGGGCCACUGUCAUGGUUAAAGGUGUGCCCCAUAUCUAAGGGCAGCAGAGUCAGAGUAGGCAGGGAUUUGAACCAAGGAGAAUAUGGGCAGAGAUGUACUUCAGAUGAUGACCAUAUAUGAACACUAAUGUAAAAGUGUGUUUUGAUCUACAAGAAUUCAGAAUGAUCCACUACAUGAGCUGUAAGAAACUGGUAUGUUUGACCCUGAGGAUGGCCAGACCCUCAAUGGUAAGAUAUGAAGGCAUGUCCCAGAAGCUCAAAUAAAAGAGGUCUUGGGAGCUUAAAAAAAUAGUGUGAGUAGGACUAGCCUGACAAUGAAAGGCUCAGCAGAAGCAAAAAGCAAUGUGGAGCUGAAAUGAUUCCUAACAAUGAAGUAUAUUUUUGUAUUUGGCAUAGACCCAAAUGAGGAGAGAUGUGGGUUGGGGCCUACCUUUAAACCUGAAGAGUCCCAAUAAAAUAGAAGAAGAAACAUGGGCAUAGACAUAUCCAUAAACUUAAGAAGGACCUGCCCCCAAAAAAGAGAUAUGAGUCUGGGCCUAUUCCUGAACCUCAAAAGGACUGGGCCCAAACAAAAAGGGAUGUAGGCCUGGGCCUAUUCCUGACCCUUAAGAGGCCUGGGCCCUAACAAGAAGAGAUGUGGGCCUGGGCCUAUCACUGACCCUGAAGAGGCCUGGGCCUUAACAAGAAGAGAUGUGGGCCUGUGCCUAUCCCUGACCGUGAAGAGGCCUGGGCCCUAACAAGAAGAGAUGUGGGCCUGGGCCUAUCCCUGAACAUGAAGAGGCCUGGGACC